rnacentral:lncRNA from 1 species
GUUGAGUCCUAAUUUCACACAGGACAAGAGCAGGAAGAAGGCAGCCCAAGGAUAACAAAAUGUCAGAGCUGACAGACCAGAGAUACCUGUCACACUUCUUGGAUUAACUUUUCCAGCUCAGCGGAUGGUACCACAGCUUUCCAGAACAAGGCAAAAAGUGAGGAGACCUCCCUUCCUGUAUGAGCUCCCACUUCCCAACAACCUGACAGUCCUUACAGGACCUUCUAGGACCAGAUCCUUCUCACCAAGGCUCACACCUUGGUCUCCACUACAUCUGAAGAGGUUACAAGGAAUUCUGGCAUAUUACCAUCCUUGGCCUAGGAGCCCACCAAAGGACAUAUGUGGACCAGCAUUUGCUUUCAGACUUGCUCCUGCUGGCCUCCUGCCACUGCCUGAUGUCAGCGCUGCAAUGCUCUGUCAAUAGGGCAAGCCAUGGCAGGGCAAGUCCCCUUCAGAAGGAGGCUAGAGAAGCAGAGUGGUCAGACGUCUGAGAAGAGCCGGUGUCGUGAACCUUUUCUGCCCUGCCUUCUAGGAAUCCUAGCCACCUUCUGGUGCAGCUUGCCCCAGACAUCCAGACAUGGAGAGCCUUUGGUCUGAACCGCUCUCCACCUCAGACAACAGGCCUUCUGGGCAACACAAGGCGCUCUGUAUAGCCCCAUUGGGAAGUCAGUGGCUUUUGCACCUUUGUGAGUUGAAUCCUGCCUGGGAAGACAAGAACACAGACUGAGCAACCCCAACCUGGAUAUCUGACAUUGGAAACGCUGCAAUCUCUAAAGUCAGCUCAACCAGUCUGGUUUACCUAUGCAAGCAUUUCAAAGAUGAUAGACUCCAAAAUGUGAAAAAUUCCUGGUUCCAAGCAUUCCAGGAAUGGUUGGCCAUACACAGGCUGAUGAGAGAGGCAGAAAUAUCUUCCAGAAUAUCUCUGAGAGCAGAGAAAGCAAGUGACAGCGAGAGAGAGAAGGGAGGGGGCUGAGGGGCUCAGCAGUUUUGAGAGUGUAGCACUCCUCCUCGAGGACCCCACCUAUGGAUCUCAGCACUCAUGCAGAGUGACUCACACUGCCCAGGACUCCAGCUCCAGGCCCUCUUCUGGCCUCUCUGGGUACUGCAUGCAUGCACAUACACACACACACACACACACACACACACACACACCUUUUAAAAGAGAAAGGAGGGUGAAGAGCAGAUGCAUGGCAGCCUGCACAGGGAAUAUUUUUCCAUGAGAGAACCCCAGAGCCCUUACAGAACUUCGCAAGCUAUCACUGGGACACACAUAACUCAUAUGUUGUGUUUUAUGAAUGUUCACAAUGCUCACGCAUUCACCUGAUUUAGGAUUGACUUUCCAGGAAAGAAUCUUAGGCAGUUGAUGUCAUUAUGACAGUCCAUGAAGACACCCAGGAGGGAGGCGAGGAAAGUUAGUCAGCAGCCUUCUUGUUGGGAGGAAUCAGGACUGAGAAGCACCCAGCAAGCAGCUCAUUCCCUAUUGCGUGAAGUUCAAGUUCCCCACUGAAGGCCUGGGUUUCAGAACUCUCACACAGUCCUGCUUCUGUUCGGCCUUCUCUUCUCAUCUGGAAGCCCUGCCCUUUAUUUUAGUAAUCAUCAAAGAGGAGAACCUAGAAGUGACAAUAACUUUUUCAAUAUGAGCAAUAUUUAUGAACACCUUGGGCUUAGGUGGUUGGUAGCACAUCUCUGUACCGCAUCUCAGGGCUUGGACAGAGUGUCCUUACUGGAUUUCUAUCGUUUGGCAGCAGAUCAUUGGAAGAAGGAUGCUAUCACAACUGACCCCUGGAUUGACCAGUCAAAGGAAGAAGGCUUUUGUUAUUUUUGUGUGCAUAGAUGUGCUGCCAGCAUGUACGUAUAUCUGUGUGCUGCUUGCAUGCCUCCUGCCCAGAGGUUAGAAGAGGAUCCCCCAGGAUUAGAGUUACAAAUGGUUGUGAGCUGCCAUGUGAGUGCUAGGAACCAAAUCUGGGUCCUCUAGAAGAGCAGCCAGUGCUCUUAACUGCUGAGCCAUCUCUCCAGCCUCAACAUGAAGCAUAAAAAGCAUAAUAUUUACAAAUAUGAAACCAUGAGAGUCAAUAAAGUAAAGGAUUCUACAACUGGGUUCUGACCACCAGAAACUAGUCAGCAUUCCUAAGUGAGAGUCGGUCGGUCCCAAGCGUGAGAGGUGCAUUAGACACAGCUAACCCAACACUCGGAGCUUUUUGGAGAACAAGCCCAGCCCACAAGGCUGAGCAAGGGCAAUAGAGAAGGUUUUUUUGUUUUGUUUUGUUUUUUUUAUCAUAGCUACCCCAGUUCAUCACUCAACAUCUGGAAAAUAAGAUCACACCUUAGUUAAAGAAAGUGCUUUGGCUGGGCAGUGGUGGUGCACGCCUUUAAUCCCAGCACUUGGAAGGCAGAGGCAGGUGGAUUUCUGAGUUCGAGGCCAGCCUGGUCUACAAAAGUAAGCUCCAAGACAGUCAGGGCUAUACAGAGAAACCCUGUCUCCAAAAAAAAAAAAAAAAAAAAAAAGUCAGUGCUUUAACACAUAACCUACAUAGCUAAGAUUAGUGAGCACAAAGAUAAAGCACCCACAGUUUUCACAGGAAUUCAAGGUUGUAACACUCACGAUGCAACCAGGCUGCAUGAUCACCUUAUUCAAAGAUUUUUAACCUAUAACAUUCUCUACGCUGGGGUAGUAUUUCUUUAGCAGCCACAGGCAGGGAAAGCAGCAGAGGUCUGUGUGACAGAAUGGCCUCCACACACUUACACUCCAACCAUUCACGGGGGAUGUGGGGGGCGGGGGGAGGGCUGACAAUGCAUGAUAGGUUUGAUGAGUGUUCUGUAAGAGGCCAUCACAGUGAGAAAGAAGCCACAGAGCAGAAGACUGGGGCCACUGUGGGACAGUAGCGAUGCAGCAGCAGCAGGCCACUUGCCUAGCAUGUGACACCUUGGGUUCACACCUCGGUAUCAAUUCUAUGUAUGUGUGAAAUGAAAACCAGUGAAUUCACAGCAACUUGACAGGGAAGAAGAAAGGUCCUACAGAUGCUCUUGUCAACUGUUUGCCUUGGGUGCCAUCUUCAAAGAGUACUGAACUUGCAGCCCACCUGUGUGGCCCAGGCACUACUCUGGGUCACAGCUCCCUUGUGAAGGUGUGAUGCCCAGCAGGUGGCUUUCCACACAGCACCUUGGUCAGCAUGCAAGCAUGGACUGCUGGCCAUUUCCUUUCUGGACCUGUAAAGGUCCAAGGGGUAAUGUGGUCCCCACCCACAUGCUUGUCCUUCUCUAGCCAGAGCAGCAGAAGUAGAAAUUGUCUGGUAAAUGUAAAUGAGCU